rnacentral:rRNA from 1 species
GCCAGCAGCCAUAUGACCCUGCAGCUCUCAACUGCCUACCCACUGAAGCUCAGCUGGGUUGAGCCUGGUCAGUACCUGGCUGGGAGACCUACUGGGAAGCUAUGGUUGCUGCUGGAA